rnacentral:rRNA from 1 species
CAGUCGCCGCGGUAAUACGUAGGUGGCAAGCGUUGUCCGGAAUUAUUGGGCGUAAAGGGCUCGCAGGCGGUUUCUUAAGUCUGAUGUGAAAGCCCCCGGCUCAACCGGGGAGGGUCAUUGGAAACUGGGAAACUUGAGUGCAGAAGGGGAGAGUGGAAUUCCACGUGUAGCGGUGAAAUGCGUAGAGAUGUGGAGGAACACCAGUGGCGAAGGCGACUCUCUGGUCUGUAACUGACGCUGAGGAGCGAAAGCGUGGGGAGCGAACAGGAUUAGAUACCCCAGUAGUCCCUGUCUCUUAUAC